UCACGGACUGUAAAAAAAGAGAUGGGUUGGUUUUUGUUAUUUUUUCUUUUUUCUUUUUUUUUAAUUUUUAUUUUUGAUGGCAUUUUUUUCUCCUGCUUUUAGGACACAUUGUAGUAGGAAACCAAUGGAGGAAAACAAAGUACUUUUGGGGAUUUUCCAUGCCGUGAAGAGACCGGGAGAUGGCGGCUUCAACCCCUGCGAAGGAGAAAAGCGGUGGAAAAGCACAGAAUUAGGCAUAAAACUACCCACCUUGGGGGUGCGUGUGGUGUGGAAAGCUUAAUUCAGGGCCAAAACCCUUCAUCUGUGAGGGGAACAAAUAACAU